rnacentral:lncRNA from 1 species
AUGUGCACAGGACUCCACGGGAGCUGCCCUCCCCGUGACGUGCGAGAACUUUCCGCCAAUGGCGCGCGGGCAGCCCCAAAGGGGCGAGGCUCGCUCCCCUCCCUCCCCUGCGCUCCCCUCACCCUCCCACUCCCGGUGCGGGCCCGGGCGCGGCUCAGCUGCUCAGCGGCUCCCGGGCGGGCCGGCCCCGCUCCCCUCCAGCUCUCCUCCGGCUCCCCUGGCUGCGCCGAGAGCUGCAGCGCGAGCCGGCCUGCUUCCCAGCCAACCCGAGAGCUUUCGGCUCUUCGGUGGCUGCUACCUGUCUGCCCUGGGCGCCUAUGCGGCUCGGGGUCUCAGGGCAGAGAUCUCCCCCACAUUCGGAACCAGAGCCCAGAACGCCCACUGAGACAGGCACGGACAGGCACACAUGCACCCCGACAGACAUGCUCAGACUUAUACGGAACCACAGCACCAACACUGAGACACACCCGUCCAGCGCACCGACCAGCGCGCGCGCGCGCGUACAGAAACCGACAAACACAAAGUCACCCCUGUCCAACACUGAGACGCCGCCAGAAACCAGCACAGAAGCGCCUAGAAGCUCCCACACAGAAAAGUAAACAACACACAAACGCUCACUUUGGAGGUAUGCGGAGCGCCACAGACACGGACGUCCCCAUCCAGAUAUAUCAUCCUGGCCAUAGCACGGAGAACAAAUUGGAAAGGGGCAAGAGUGGAGACAGAGAUGGAAGAUGUUGGGGCCUGGAUCUGAGCAACAGUGGUGGACACAGAGAGAAGGGAACAGAUGCCAGAGGUCUUAGCUGGUUUUAAGCUGAAGUUGUCACACUGGAGUUUUCCAAUGUAUGUUUUAUGUGAAGAGUUCUGCGGUUGAAUAAGGUUGGGGAACCCUGCCAGCUUCAGCCCCGUCUGGAAAAGACCAGGUGUAAAUGAGCACCCCAAAGAUUCUGAGAAGGCCUCCAGGAAAGAGGCAUGGUUACCUUUUAUGAACAGAGCAUUUCUCAUGCUGACCUGACUUUUUAUUGUGUAACACUUAUUCACACAGCUUGAAACUAGUGUUAACGAGCGACUUUGGGAAAUGCUAACUUACACAACUUACUGACUUCUGUCUGCAUCACUACAUAUGCAUUUCCCGUCACCAGGGAUGCCUCCUUCUUCCUGUGAGCCAAACUGUCUUCUCUUCACGGGGAUCCACGUUCACCUCUUAAUGAAAUCAUCCCAGAUGACCCAUGACAAGCCACCAAUCUCCAGUUAUUUGAGAAAAUCCCUGGUCUGUCAAGGGCAGCUCUAUAUAACAAUCAGUUAGACGGUAGUCUUUUAAAAGUGUAGAUCACAGAUGUCAUUCCUCUGCUCCGAACCCUGCAAUCAUUUCCCAAAACAUGCAGAAGAAGGUAGAGACUCCUAAGAGCCCAAUGAUCUGUCCCUUCUGCUUCUUCAGCCUAAUUUCCCUCCCCUUCUUACGUCUUUCCGGUCACACUGGCCUUUCCCCAAAGACGCCGAGCUUAUUCCUGCUUCGGGGCCUCUGCACCAGCUCUCACCUUCCCCUGGGAUGCUCUGAGCUCAGAGCCCCACACGGCACACUCCCUCUCCUCGCUCAGGUCUCUCUCACAUACCACCUCCCAGUGAGGUCAUCCUGGACCGCCAGACCUCAAGCCCCGACUUCCUCUAUUGGCUAUUUUCUGACCCCAUACUCUGCUGCUUUUUUGCCAUAGUCUCAUCACUGCUACAUUGUUUUCCAUACUCAUUAAUUAAUAUUUCUUAUCUUCCUCCUCCACCAGAAUGUAAGACCCAAGAGGGAAGGGGAUUUGCUUGCCUUCUUCACCAGUCUAUCCCCGGAGCCUGGAAGAAUGGCUGGAACGUAGUAGGAAUUCAAGAAAUACUUGUUGAAUAAGCGAAUAAAUAAAAAUGUUUAGUCA